CUGGCUGGAGGAAGCACCACAGCACAACACAGGUGCUUGCAGAAGGCCCAGUGGGCCCGAGUCAAGGGCGCAGGGGGGAGGACGUGUAUACAGGGCCUUGGUGGCUGUGCAAAGGGCUUUGGACUUUCUCCUAAUUGCUGUGGGAAGACUGUUACGCUACGCAGAGGCUCAAAUAGGCAGAAAGCCAAUCACUGAGACAAGUAUUGCCAGGGAAGAAGGCUUUUUUGGGUGCUACAGCUGAGGAGCUGGGAGGUCAAAACAGUGUGGGAAAAGAAAUUUAAAAAAAUGUUAUUAAAGAAGCUACUGUCAACCUAAAGGAAGAAACUGAGGCAAAAUUAAUGAACACUACUCCCCAAAUAGGUUCUGCCCAUGGGAUGUGGAGAUGAUGAAUUUUCUAACCUCAGUGUUGCUGACACUUAGAUCCAUGCGCUUCUGGAAAGACUCAUUUCUAAGCCAUCACGGCUGAUUGAAUGAUUGUAUCCCCCAGGUGUUUAAUAAUGGAUCCAUGUCAAUCCUAAAAGAAGUAUCUGGUGGACUGCAAUAAGGUUCUGCCUGUGAUCGUCUUCAUUUUAUCAUCCACUCAUGAAGAUGUGAAAGCCAGACUUCAGACAGACAAUUAGAGGGCAUUAGUAAUGCAUAUUGGAUGAGAAGUUGUGACACAAAAUUUUAAUAGGCUGCAAAGAUGUGCUAAAAUUCACUAGGUAUAAAUGAUGUCAUAGGUUCAGGGAGAUACUGAGACAAGUGUGAACAGAAUACAUGAGAUUACACUGAAGUUCAAUUAACUGCUAGUCAAAAACUAAAAACUAAAACAAUGUAUUCUGUAGUGAACACUUGCAGAUCUGUGUGCUUAGUUCACCUUUUCUAGAAGUUGCCCCUUCCCUUGUCCAGAUGGUUGCAAAAAAGCACUGACGUCACAACAUGACCUGGUUCCUGGCCACAGUUGAUAGGUCCAGAAACUGAUACUCAACUUAAGAAUAAGGAUCUGUUCUGUUUAUUUUAAAAUCAGAACCAAGAAUGGUAAGCUGGACUGUCUUCGAAAGCCUGGACUCUAAGAAGUAAAGCUUUGGAUUUAUAGGCAGCCAUGUCCCCCACCACUGGGGUGGCAGAGGAAUCUAGUCUUUGGAGAGAGGGGUGGACAUGAGAGAUGGAAAGAGACUCCUGUCUACAUGUUCCUAUGGCUCAGUUGCAUUUCUCUUCCUUGAGUAUCACUGUAUUCUAAUAACCUAAUAGAUCCUCAUAUCUUCCCUUUCAACUCAAGCUAACUAAGUGUCUCAUAUUUGCAAAGCAAAAUGUUCCAAGUACAUGACUUAAGCUCCAGCUACAGUGCCCUGAAUAAGGGUGGGAUAAUCAUAAUAGUAAAUUUCCAAGUGGCCAAGUCUUAACUUUGCCUUGGCCACACUAAUGUGGUCCAUGUGGUCAUUUCCAGGCUCAACUUUCUGAAGAUGAUGGUCAAGAGACAGAAGUCUCUGAGGAAGAGGAGGUAGCUGUUUAGAAAUGUUUAAAGGGUUGCCAUGUAUAAGUCAAAGUAGGUGUUCUAUGUUGCUCCAACAGACAAAAAUGAUACCAAUAGUCAAAAGUUGGAAUGCAGAUUUUGACUGGACACAACAAUUGUUUUUGUAAGUAUUAGACUUAUCCAAUAAAGGAAUGGAUGACCUAGUGAAGGAUCAAGGUCUCUGUCAAUGGAAGGUUGGGUCAGAACUUAGAUAUACAUUUAUUUGGGAGUUUGAUGAAUAGAUGGCUAUUAAUAGCUGUCAUUUAUCAAAGGCUUUUUAUGUGUGAAACACUGUGCUUGACAUAUGCUUUAUGUAAAUUUACACAUCUUCAUAAUAAUCAUAUGAAUAGAUAUACCUUAUACAUUUAAUAAUAGUUAUCAAAUAUUUAUAAGAACAAUAUUUUGGUAAUUUUAAACGUAAAAUUAAAAAAAUUUGUUAUGCUUCAAUUGUAGAAUUAUGCUACAAUUAAUUUCAGUCUUUGAAGUAUUUGUAAUUUUACCACUUCAUGGCAUUUUUCUACUUUU
rnacentral:lncRNA from 10 species